rnacentral:tRNA from 1 species
GGAGGCGUAGCUCAGCUGGUUAGAGCGCACGGUUCACAUCCGUGAGGUCGAGGGUUCGAUCCCCCCCGUCUCCACCA